UACAGAGGUCUCAAGCGUUGUUCGGAUUCAUUGGGCGUAAAGGGUGCGUAGGCGGCGCGGUAAGUCGGGUGUGAAAUCUUGGAGCUUAACUCCGAAACUGCAUUCGAUACUGCCGUGCUUGAGGACUGGAGAGGAGACUGGAAUUUACGGUGUAGCGGUGAAAUGCGUAGAUAUCGUAAGGAAGACCAGUGGCGAAGGCGGGUCUCGUGGACAGUUCCUG
rnacentral:rRNA from 1 species